AACGCAGGAUGCAAUUACAGUCCUUCAUCGUGUGGAAGUACUGCCAUUACCCUGCGGACAGUAAGAGGCUGCGGCGAAGUUAGGGUGACCUGGCCGGUCAGCCGGACGGGAUGCUCUGCGGCAGUGACAUUU
ensembl:snoRNA small nucleolar RNA SNORA69